rnacentral:rRNA from 1 species
AGGGUUCGAUUCUGGCUCAGGAUUAACGCUGGCGGCGUGCCUAACACAUGCAAGUCGAACGAAAUAUCUUCGGAUAUUUAGUGGCGAACGGGUGAGUAAUGUACAGGUAAUGUACCUUCGUACUGCGAAUAACAAGCUGAAAAGUUUGCUAAUACGGAAUAGUUUCAUUAGGGGGCAUCCUUUGAUGAAUAAAGAUUUAUCGUGCGGAGAUCAGCCUGUAUCCUAUUAGUUAGUUGGUGGGGUAAUGGCCUACCAAGACGACGAUGGGUAACUGGUCUGAGAGGAUGAGCAGUCACAUUGGAACUGAGAUACGGUCCAAACUCCUACGGGAGGCAGCAGUGAGGAAUUUUGCGCAAUGGGGGAAACCCUGAACCGCAGCAACGCCGCGUGAGUGAAGACGGCCUUCGGGUUGUAAAGCUCUGUCGUGUAUGACGAGUAGGGACGGUAAUACACAAGGAAGCCUCGGCUAACUACGUGCCAGCCGCCGC